AAAUCAUAGAAUUUUUUAAAAUUCAUGAUGUCGUAAGGGAAAAUAAUGAUAAUACCUUACUAUGAGUGUUGUCCAAAUCUGGUGCCAGAAGACUCGGUAAGACCAGAAACGCAAACGUUAAUCAUCAUAAACAGGCGUAAAGGGUUUGUAGGCAGCUUUCAUCAGAUUAUGAUUUCAAAAUAAAGUCGUCUAAUUGAAAGCUAGAAUCAAAAAGAGGUUAUAGUGUAUAACGCCUAGAGGAGGGCUGAUAUCCAUAGAUCCUAGGCAGAAUACUAAGGGCGAAGGCCACUUUCCAUUAAUGAUUGACGCUGAGAAACGAAGGUUAGGGUAGGAAAUAGGAUUAGAUACCCCGGUACUCCUUUCUGUAAACGAUGAAUGGUAGUCAUUAGUUUAAGUUUAUAUAAAAAGACUAAAAUAACUAGAGACGAAGUUAACACAAUAACCAUUCCGCCUUGUGAGUACUACUGCAAAGUAGAAAACAAAAAAAUUAGUC
rnacentral:rRNA from 1 species